GAUGGGUAGUUCUCGGGCGGUGAGUCUGCGUGUCGCGUGCGCAACUAGAUGCAAGCGCGCUCGAAACAGCAGCAACCAGCAAGCAACGGUGCAGACUAAAAUCUGCAGGUGUGAAACAUUGGACUCGAGAUUGUAACAUACCCAACCGGGAGGUUUUUUGAUCAAGCCGUACUUAGCCUAUAUAUUUGCACUACCCUGUGCUAAUCUGCUGAGGCCAGAGUGUGUUGAACGAGAGUUUAUCUUUACUAAAUGGUAGUGACGGGGGAUUUAUGUUCACAGCUCUCGGGAAUUCAACAGGAGGUAGCAUGGCAGGAUUUCGCAUGGGGAAUGCCAACAUUUCUCCAUAGAAGACCACAGACCCAAGAGUUGAUCCCUGAUCCUGUCCAGGUGGGCCGACGGCCAUAGCCAGAUGGAUUCCUUAGAUGACAACCUGGAGGCUGAACAAAGUGGAGUUGUCCGGAAACGACACAGAGAGCAGCGCAUCGCUGGAACGGUACAGAAGAUUCAUGAAAUGAAGCAGAAGAUGGUGGAAGCCGAGAGAAAGCAGGAGCAGUGGCUGUACUGGCGACCCAUAUUGUUCUGUGUAGGUGCCGGGGCAGCCAUCAGCGCUGGACUCCUCGCCGUCUGGAGCUAUCUCUCAUAUUGACCAAUGGACUAAAGCGGCAGAGGAACUUACAAAUAUAUCACUUCACAAACAAAUGACAAAAAAAUGUCUGACUGUGAUCAGUAGACCAAAAUAUUGUUAUUAAAGAUCUACUUCCAAUGAAAACCA